UACGUAGGGGGCUAGCGUUGUCCGGAAUCAUUGGGCGUAAAGAGCGCGUAGGCGGCUGGACGAGUCCGGUGUGAAAUCCACAGGCUUAACCUGUGAAUGCCGCUGGAAACUGUCUGGCUAGAGUCCGGAAGGGGCGAGUGGAAUUCCUGGUGUAGCGGUGAAAUGCGCAGAUAUCAGGAGGAACACCAAUGGCGAAGGCAGCUCGCUGGGACGGUACUGACGCUGAGGAGCGAAAGCGUGGGGAGCGAACAGG
rnacentral:rRNA from 1 species